rnacentral:misc_RNA from 1 species
GAAAUGCGAUACGUAGUGUGAAUUGCAGAAUUCAGUGAAUCAUCGAAUCUUUGAACGCACAUUGCGCCCCUUGGUCUUCCAUGGGGUAUGCCUGUUCGAGCGUCAUUUGUACCCUCAAGCUCUGCUUGGUGUUGGGUGUUUGUCCCGUCUCCGCGCGUGGACUCGCCCCAAAGUGAUUGGCAGCCGGCGUACUGGUCCCGGAGCGCAGCACAUGUCGCGCAAACGAGUGCCUUGGUACGGCGGCGUCCAUAAGCCCCUCUCUCACGCUCUUGACCUCGGAUCAGGUAGGGAUACCCGCUGAACUUAAGC